rnacentral:lncRNA from 1 species
CGCAGAGUCCGCCUGGCUUCAGAGACAUGACAUCUUGGAGAAGGAGUUCCAAAUCUGUGCCUUGCAGCGCGAGAAGGAGGCCAGGCUCCGGGCCAUCAGCCUGAUCUGCGUCCAGGCCCGGAACGAGUUUUCCAAGCAGCGGAUCUUGAUGGACUUCAGUGCUGGCCUGCAGGAAGUGUCCAGGAGAGCGGAGGGCGAAGAAGACGGCGAAGAAGAGGUGGACGAGGGGGACUCGGCUGGAGAGCAGCAGCCUGUCAAUCUGGAGGUUUUCACGGUCAGCUCGACGGAGUAUCUCAAACUUGGUGGGAAGCUGCUCUGCAAUGGCCAGCCUCAAGUUUUCCAUGACAUCAAAGACACAGAGAUUCCUGCGCUGAAGAAGUUUGCCAUGGACACAGCGCUAAAGCACAGCAUGGUGGCAACCGAGAAGGUCAUCCGGGACGUGGCUCGUGUCCUGAGCCAAAUGGUGAAUUACCUCAACAGCCAGAGGACGGAGGCUGAUGCCCACCAGGCCCAGGUGCAGGAGAUGCUGCAGCAGGCCUUGCAGGGCCUCCCUGCCCUCCUCCAGGGGGUCCUCAGGGCCAGCGCUCAGGACCUCCGGCGGGCCUUCGAGGCCCUCCUCCUGGGCAGCCUGCAG